AUCUAUGGCCAUGCUACCCUGAAUAAGCCCAAUCCUGUCUGAUCUUGGAAGCUUAGCAGGGUCGAGCCUGGUUAGUACUUGAAUGGGAGACCACUUAGGAAGACCAGGUGCUGUAGGCG
rfam:Pteropus alecto contig8905, whole genome shotgun sequence.